GGAGACCCUCAGACAGUUCAAGAUCUUGUAAGUCUAGUGCAGGCCCAUUCCUCUAGUAUCGUUUUUCUUUGUGAAACUAGACAGUCUAAGAAUAAAAUGAAGAGAUAUCAUGCUUGGUUAAGGUUACGAGGUUUUGAUGCUUCUGAUAGUGUGAAUCGUAGUGGUGGUCUUGCUUUGUAUUGGCAUGAGUAA
rnacentral:rRNA from 1 species